UAGGGAAUAUUGGACAAUGGGCGAAAGCCUGAUCCAGCAACGCCGCGUGCACGAUGAAGGUCUUCGGAUUGUAAAGUGCUUUUAAGGGAGAUGAGAAAGGACAGUAUCCCUUGAAUAAGCCUCGGCGAACUACGUGCCAGCAGCCGCGGUAAAACGUAGGAGGCAAGCGUUAUCCGGAUUUAUUGGGCGUAAAGCGCGUGCAGGCUGUUUGGAAAGUUGGAUGUGAAAGCUCCUGGCUUAACUGGGAGAGGUCGUUCAAAACUACCA
rnacentral:rRNA from 1 species